CACGUAGGCGGAUCUUUAAGUCAGAGGUGAAAUCCCAAGGCUCAACCUUGGAACUGCCUUUGAUACUGGAGAUCUUGAGUCCGGGAGAGGUGAGUGGAACUGCGAGUGUAGAGGUGAAAUUCGUAGAUAUUCGCAAGAACACCAGUGGCGAAGGCGGCUCACUGGCCCGGUACUGACGCUGAGGUGCGAAAGCGUGGGGAGCAAACA
rnacentral:rRNA from 1 species